rnacentral:sRNA from 1 species
GUUUCAAUUCCUCAUAGGCAGGCUAUCGGCAAAAUGAUGAGAUCAACUUAAUUGAUCUCAUUGUGGG